ACCAGGCUCCCCAGGGAAUGGGCACAGCCCCAAGGCUGCCCGAGCUCCAGAAGUAUUUGGACAGCCCUCCCAGGCACAGGGAUCCACUUCUUUGGCUGUAAGUACUUGUAGAUGGAAGAAAAGAAUACUAAUUUGUACUCAGCUGUUCCUGGAAUUUUGCUCUUGCAUGAGAAUGCCCUGCACCAUUAACGUAUCAACUGCAAAAGUGAAUUCCAGCACGGGGAAUCUGCCAAAAAGAAGAGAUUUUAUCCUGACAGGAGUGAAACAAACAGACAUUCAAUCAGGGUAGAUGUCAGGAAAGCCAAGAGAAAUAAGAACUCCAUUCUAUACUGUUUCCCAAGACAUAAAAACAGUGAUCAAAAGAGAGACCCUGCUGCUUGUGAAACUCUAAAGCUUGAGUUCAUGGCUCCUGAAUGGACCCGUGCCUUCAACAAAACCACCACAGCCCCUGCAACCUCCCACAGAAAGCAAGAAGAAAACUGCUGGGGUUUGACCAUGUUAUCAGGCAGCACCUCCCACGUGGAGCUUGUUUCUGUGCACAGAGGUUUGUUUCCUCAGCCACAACAACACAGAAAACUUGAAAACAGAAAAACACUAUUUUUCCUGUCAAACAGGAAUUUGAGAUUACCUGUCAAACGUGAAUUUGAGUUACCCUCAAAGGAAGGUGUUUGAGUUUUGCUUCACAGGAAGCUUUCCCAUCUCUUCCAUUCAGUGUUGCACUGGUCCCUCAUCCAUGGGCUCCUUUCAGGGAGGUUCCUAAACCCUCCUGGUGUCU